rnacentral:lncRNA from 1 species
UAUAAGCAUAGUGGGAGUAUUAUAUACAACUAAAAACAAUCAAAUGGACCAAUAGUUGUAAUAGGACCAAAAUAGUUUUAAUAGAGAUUAAAAUGUAUGUUUAUAUGUGAUGAGACCUAAAACCCUCAACCAAACCCUUAUUAAGUUGAUAAAUCGUGAGAGUGCUUUGAACACUCUUUCGUAGGCCUUCCACCGUGGUGGGAUCUAAUCGUUUAUGACUUGUACACCGGCUUUGUUGGAAAUGUGCCCUAAAACCAAUCAUGUGAUGAUACUUUACGGACAUUUCACAUGUUAAACUAAUCUAGUUUAAUAUAAAGGGCAAAGAUUAUUGUUUGAGCCGUCUCAUAUAAAUGUUAUAUGCUUCAACGAUAAAGUCCAAGGAAUAUGUGAUUGGGAGAAUGCAAUCUAAUGAAGUUAGAUUCAUGAGACCAUUCUUUCGUAGACACAUCCUAAAUGUUCCUGAUCAUAGGAUUGCCAAUUGGGCAUUGACAGUCCGUCAAGAUCGGUACGUGUUAUGUCUUCUCUCAGGGAGAGUGACUAGUCUCGAGUCAUUGGUGUGUGUGACAUCAAGACAAGUACGUAGGUGCUUAGUAGAGAAUGAGUUCACUGAACGCGAUCAACGAAGAGUUCUCAUACUCAUGUCACAUGAGAACUC